rnacentral:rRNA from 1 species
UACAGAGGAUGCAAGCGUUAUCCGGAAUGAUUGGGCGUAAAGCGUCUGUAGGCGGCUUUUCAAGUCCGCCGUCAAAUCCCAGGGCUCAACCCUGGACAGGCGGUGGAAACUGCCAAGCUGGAGUACGGUAGGGGCAGAGGGAAUUUCCGGUGGAGCGGUGAAAUGCGUAGAGAUCGGAAAGAACACCGGUGGCGAAGGCGGCGUCCUGGACCAACACUGACACUGAUGAGCGAAAGCCAGGGGAGCAAACAGG